GGUUUGAGGGGCUCCGCGUUAUUCCAGAGUCCCUAAGAAAACUACAAAGACCAAGUUCCAUCCCAGGGGACAAACUGGCCCCCUCCAGAUAUCGUUAUUAUGCUAUUCACUCCCAUGACCCUGCACAUCUUUAAACACAACCUUUCUGUAUUUUCAUCUCCAAUAGAAAGAGAGUAACGUGAAAUAAUCUCAGGCUGCCCUGCUCUCGCACAAGAAACUACAACACCUAGGUUUUCUGCUCAGCCUGACUUUUAAGCAGGCCAGUUAGCUCCCAACUACAUCAGCAGCUCAGAGCAGGACUGAGAAGAAAACCCUCAACCCAUGUGCUGCAGGACAGAUGGAGGGGCAAAGAAACCAGUGGUCAUACUCCUGGGGGCUAAGAGGGGGAGCAACUCCGACCUGCGUCUGUAGUAUUAUUGUUGUUGUUAUUUUUGCUAUUAAUAAAAUACGAUCAUUUCUGUUA